CUUGACCGAGCCGAGCAUUAGCGGCCGGUCCUCGGGGCGGUCCUGGCCGUAGGUGGCGAGGAGCGCCUGGGCCUC
rnacentral:antisense_RNA from 3 species